rnacentral:rRNA from 1 species
GACAUAGGUCGCGAACGUUAUCCGGAAUUAUUGGGCGUAAAGAGCGUGUAGGCGGUCAGGUAGGUCCGUUGUGAAAACUCAAGGCUCAACCUCGAGACGCCGAUGGAAACCAUCUGACUAGAGUCCGGAAGAGGAGAGUGGAAUUCCUGGUGUAGCGGUGAAAUGCGCAGAUAUCAGGAAGAACACCCGUGGCUAAGGCGGCUCUCUAGUACGGUACUGACGCUGAGGCACGAAAGCGUGGGGAGCAAACAGG